rnacentral:rRNA from 1 species
CACGCUGUAAACGAUGGAUACUAGGUGUAGUGGGUAUCGACCCCUGCUGUACCGUAGCUAACGCGUUAAGUAUCCCGCCUGGGGAGUACGCACGCAAGUGUGAAACUCAAAGGAAUUGACGGGGGCCCGCACAAGCGGUGGAGUAUGUGGUUUAAUUCGAUGCAACGCGAAGAACCUUACCAGGGUUUGACAUGUCCGGAACCUCGGUGAAAGCUGAGGGUGCCUUCGGGAACCGGAACACAGGUG